AACGAACGCUGGCGGCAUGCCUAACACAUGCAAGUCGAACGCUCAGGAGGGUUUCGGCCCGCUUGGGAGUGGCGCACGGGUGAGUAGCGCGUGGGAACCUGCCCUGUUGUGGGGGAUAACCGAGGGAAACUUCGGCUAAUACCGCAUGCGCCCCCGCGAAAGCGGGGGGAAAGAUUGAUCGCAGGAGGAGGGGCCCGCGUAGGAUUAGCUGGUUGGUGGGGUAACGGCCUAACAAGGCGAUGAACCGUAGCUGGUCUGAGAGGAUGAUCAGCCAAACUAGGACUGAGACACGGCCCAGACUCCUACGGGAGGCAGCAGUGGGGAAUAUUGGACAAUGGGGGCAACCCUGAUCCAGCAAUGCCGCGUGAGUGAUGAAGGCCUUAGGGUUGUAAAGCUCUUUCGCCCGCGACGAUGAUGACGGUAGCGGGAGAAGAAGCCCCGGCUAACUUCGUGCCAGCCGCCGCCGUAAAAC
rnacentral:rRNA from 1 species